GAUCGAUGGCUCGAGGACGAACGCUGGCGGCGUGCUUAACACAUGCAAGUCGAACGAUGAAGCUGGAGCUUGCUCCAGUGGAUUAGUGGCGAACGGGUGAGUAACACGUGAGCAAUCUGCCCUUGACUCUGGGAUAACUGCGGGAAACUGUAGCUAAUACCGGAUACGACACCUUGGGGCAUCCCGAGGUGUGGAAAGAAUUUCGGUCAAGGAUGGACUCGCGGCCUAUCAGCUAGUUGGUGAGGUAACGGCUCACCAAGGCGACGACGGGUAGCCGGCCUGAGAGGGUGACCGGCCACACUGGGACUGAGACACGGCCCAGACUCCUACGGGAGGCAGCAGUGGGGAAUAUUGCACAAUGGGCGCAAGCCUGAUGCAGCAACGCCGCGUGAGGGAUGACGGCCUUCGGGUUGUAAACCUCCUUUAGUAGGGAAGAAGCGAAAGUGACGGUACCUGCAGAAAAAGCACCGGCUAACUACGUG
rnacentral:rRNA from 1 species